rnacentral:rRNA from 1 species
AGUGAAAUCGAGUAGGGCGGGACACGUGAUAUCCUGUCUGAAUAUGGGGGGACCAUCCUCCAAGGCUAAAUACUACUGACUGACCGAUAGUGAACCAGUACCGUGAGGGAAAGGCGAAAAGAACCCCUGUGAGGGGAGUGAAAUAGAACCUGAAACCGUGUACGUACAAGCAGUAGGAGCACCUUCGUGGUGUGACUGCGUACCUUUUGUAUAAUGGGUCAGCGACUUAUAUUCAGUGGCAAGGUUAACCGUUUAGGGGAGCCGUAGGGAAACCGAGUCUUAACUGGGCGUUCAGUCUCUGGAUAUAGACCCGAAACCAGGUGAUCUAGCCAUGGGCAGGUUGAAGGUUGAGUAACAUCAACUGGAGGACCGAACCGACUAAUGUUGAAAAAUUAGCGGAUGACUUGUGGCUAGGGGUGAAAGGCCAAUCAAACCUGGAGAUAGCUGGUUCUCCCCGAAAUCUAUUUAGGUAGAGCCUCGGACGAAUACUACUGGGGGUAGAGCACUGUUAAGGCUAGGGGGUCAUCCCGACUUACCAACCCUUUGCAAACUCCGAAUACCAGUAAGUACUAUCCGGGAGACACACGGCGGGUGCUAACGUCCGUCGUGGAGAGGGAAACAACCCAGACCGCCAGCUAAGGUCCCAAAGUAUAGCUAAGUGGGAAACGAUGUGGGAAGGCUUAGACAGCUAGGAUGUUGGCUUAGAAGCAGCCAUCAUUUAAAGAAAGCGUAAUAGCUCACUAGUCGAGUCGGCCUGCGCGGAAGAUGUAACGGGGCUAAGCUAUACACCGAAGCUGCGGCAAUGUGAUUUAUCACAUUGGGUAGGGGAGCGUUCUGUAAGCCGUUGAAGGUGGACUGUAAGGUUUGCUGGAGGUAUCAGAAGUGCGAAUGCUGACAUGAGUAACGAUAAAGGGGGUGAAAAACCUCCUCGCCGGAAGACCAAGGGUUCCUGUCCAACGUUAAUCGGGGCAGGGUAAGUCGACCCCUAAGGCGAGGCCGAAAGGCGUAGUCGAUGGGAAACGGGUUAAUAUUCCCGUACUUCUUACAAUUGCGAUGGGGGGACGGAGAAGGCUAGGUGGGCCUGGCGACGGUUGUCCAGGUUCAAGUGCGUAGGCUUAAGGUUUAGGUAAAUCCGGACCUUUUUAAGGCUGAGACACGAUGUCGAGCUACUACGGUAGUGAAGUCAUUGAUGCCAUGCUUCCAGGAAAAGCCUCUAAGCUUCAGAUUGUAAGGAAUCGUACCCCAAACCGACACAGGUGGUCGGGUAGAGAAUACCAAGGCGCUUGAGAGAACUCGGGUGAAGGAACUAGGCAAAAUGGUACCGUAACUUCGGGAGAAGGUACGCUCUUAGUGGUGAAGUCCCUUGCGGAUGGAGCUACCGAGAGUCGCAGAUACCAGGUGGCUGCAACUGUUUAUUAAAAACACAGCACUGUGCAAAAUCGCAAGAUGACGUAUACGGUGUGACGCCUGCCCGGUGCCGGAAGGUUAAUUGAUGGGGUUAGUUUUCGGACGAAGCUCUUGAUCGAAGCCCCGGUAAACGGCGGCCGUAACUAUAACGGUCCUAAGGUAGCGAAAUUCCUUGUCGGGUAAGUUCCGACCUGCACGAAUGGCGUAAUGAUGGCCACGCUGUCUCCACCCGAGACUCAGUGAAAUUGAAAUCGCUGUGAAGAUGCAGUGUACCCGCGGCUAGACGGAAAGACCCCGUGAACCUUUACUACAGCUUGGCACUGAACAUUGA